GCAGUGUUCCCAUAAAUGGUAUUGGAGACGGUUGCUAACCGUUCAGGCAGAGGUUGCCUUGCAGGUUCGAGUCCUGCACACUGCG
rnacentral:tRNA from 1 species